AAACUUUCAACAACGGAUCUCUUGGUUCUGGCAUCGAUGAAGAACGCAGCGAAAUGCGAUAAGUAAUGUGAAUUGCAGAAUUCAGUGAAUCAUCGAAUCUUUGAACGCACAUUGCGCCCUCUGGUAUUCCGAAGGGCAUGCCUGUUCGAGCGUCAUUU
rnacentral:rRNA from 1 species